rnacentral:rRNA from 1 species
UUAAACUGAAGAGUUUGAUCAUGGCUCAGAUUGAACGCUGGCGGCAUGCCUAACACAUGCAAGUCGAACGAUGAAGUCUAGCUUGCUAGACGGAUUAGUGGCGGACGGGUGAGUAAUGUAUAGGGAUCUGCCUAGUAGUGGGGGACAACAGCCGGAAACGGCUGCUAAUACCGCAUACGCUCUACGGAGGAAAGCGGGGGCUCUUCGGACCUCGUGCUAUUAG